GACGAACGCUGGCGGCGUGCUUAACACAUGCAAGUCGAACGGAAAGGCCCUGCUUGCCGGGUGCUCGAGUGGCGAACGGGUGAGUAACACGUGGGUGAUCUGCCCCUUACUUUGGGAUAAGCCUGGGAAACUGGGUCUAAUACUGGAUAGGACCAUGCUGUAGGUGGUGUGGUGGAAAGAUUAGUUUCGGUAAGGGAUGAGCUCGCGGCCUAUCAGCUUGUUGGUGGGGUAAUGGCCUACCAAGGCGUCGACGGGUAGCCGGCCUGAGAGGGUGGACGGCCACAUUGGGACUGAGAUACGGCCCAGACUCCUACGGGAGGCAGCAGAGGGGAAUAUUGCACAAUGGGCGCAAGCCGGAUGCAGCGACGCCGCGUGGGGGAUGACGGCCUUCGGGUUGUAAACUCCUUUCAGCCAUGACGAAGCCCUUGUGGCGACGGUAGUGGUAGAAGAAGCACCGGCUAACUACGUG
rnacentral:rRNA from 1 species